CAGAAUUUGACGAUUCUUCUCCCUCGCCCAACCUUCCAAACUUCAGCAUUGGUGCGUUGGUGUUCUCCGUGAUCACGGCCGCCGCUCGACGGCGAUGACAAAUGGGCGAACGGCCACACCGCCGCUACUCUCCGUUGAUGGCUUUAUUCGAUCCUGCUCAAGUAAAGAAUGCCCUUGCUAUUCUACAAGGUAACCUAAAAUCUCAAAAAUUAUUGUUUGUUCUCCAAUCUACAAUUGUGAGAUGCCUGCAGCUUAUGGUAUUUUAUGUUUUUAUAAGCAAAAAAGGCAAUCUGCUUGUGUUCCAACAAAGCGGAUACUAGAGGGUACGUUCAACAUUCAUCUGCUCAUCUUGCCAGCAAAUAUGUCACAUAGGUAAAAUAGCAAAUUAGUGACUUUAAUCAUAAUAUAGCUAAUUGUGGAUUCAAUAUCUAAUUGUAUGUUAAAUUUUGUUGAUUGAAUAAUUUGAUUGGCAAUCAAAGCACAAUGGAUCGUUUUUUUUUUGGAAAAGGAAAUUGGAUGUGGGAGCCGCCAAACCUCUAUCGAAGUGUGCCGCAUGCAGGUGGCGUGAUGACCUGUGGCAGGAGUUGGACGGCAUCCAAACAAGCCUAAGUCCAGGCCGACCCAGUGAUAAUUUAUUCUAGAUUUGCCCCUGCACUUACAACAUGCGCAUCACACAUUGACACCACAACAAUUGACAUGAGAUCAGCAUCGAGAGCCUAGCAACGGCAAAGACCAAGUCAGAAGUAUCGAACAUGACCGCUAACAGGUGGCACUGUGGACCUGUUUGGUUUCCCAGACUAAAAUUUAGCUACUAAAAUCAAUGACUAAAUUUUAGUCAACCUUGUUUGGUUCUAAUGACUAAAAGUGACUAAAGUCAUUAAAAUAGUUCAACAAAGACUAAACUACCCCUAAUGAAUACACAACUACCCAUAAUAAUGAGAGGCACCCCCUAUCCAUUGGGCAUUUUAGCCCACUUUAGUCACUCUUAAGGGGGAAACCAAACAGGCCCUGUGUUUUGGUGCUAGAAUAAGACUUACCGGGUCAUCAAGUUCCUCAACAUGGCGAGUUGGCGACGCACAACAUGAAGAACCAAAGGUUAUCUUAUUCCACUGGAAUAGAGAAUGCGGCUACGCGAUUCUUCACGUCCUUUGGACGGUCUUUAAUUUCACGACAGUUUUGUUUAAUAAACUCGUUUAGGACAUUGCUGUAUGGUAUUUGUACUAGGUGUAAACAUAGUCGACGGCUGGUGCUAGCCGAGACGCAGAUGCAAUAUAUAAUAAUAAGAAUAUAUAUGUCUCCCUAGAAACACUAGGGAGAGAACAAAUUUGUACUGUUACAUUUUUAUUAUACGUAUCAUUGUUAUGUACA